UGCAAAGGACUAAAAACACCUUUCUCCGCCACCGCUGUUUGCAGAAAAUGAUUUAUGGGUGCUACUGAUAACUGCUAUUUCAGAUUAAAGCUGAGCUACUCUAGAUUAAAAGUACCUCAGUUGUUGAAAACGAAUUUCACGCAUCAUCAUGGGCUGAAAAGCUAAGUGCCUGCUUUCUUUCUGCACUCAGCUGCCAGUCCAGAGAUGUGCAGAGCAAAACUCAGACUCUCUUUAAUGCCCUGGAGAACUCUUCAAAGAAAGAGAAGAUGUUGAUCAGUAGAGGAGAGUUGAUUCACUAAAGAAUCUCCACAUCACCUUUAGUAGCUUCAAGUGACUUGUAUUUUUGCUGAAGUAACAUGCCCAGGUUAUAAACUGCUGUAAUUCAGCUUGCAUCAUUUUAUAUAUUUCAUUUUCUACUGUGUUUCUUUCUCUGAAACACAUAUCUCACAACUUAAAAACUGCUUUGUGAUCACUGGCUUAUGGAUGAGAGUUAAAGACUGAGGUAAUAAAGAGAGCCUUGUUGCUGGUGUUUACUACAGGCCAUUUGAUCAAGCAAAGCCUGUUGAUGAAGCCUUCUUCCUCCAGCUACAGGAGGUAUUGUGAUUGCAGGCUCUUGUCCUGCUGGGGAAAUUCAACUACCCUGACAUCUGCUGGAAAAGAAGCAUGGUGAGCUGUAGGCAAUUCAGGAGGCUCCUGGAAUGUAUCAAGGAUAACUUCCUGAGCCAG
ensembl:lncRNA